AUAACGGAACAACAACAGUCCACCCCCACUGCCAAUGCUAGAAUCUUAUACUCUAUGCAGCCAAAAGUGAUAGAGUAUAUUCUUAAAUCAGAAACUCUCUGGGUGACCUCCCUCAUAAGCAGAAUGCCAUUUGUGGUCAGAUCUUGAACCAGACUAACUGAACUAGACUCACUCAUCUGUCGCUGAGAUUACAAAAUGCAGCCUAUGAUACAAGGAUUCCACCAGGACAGUAGAUCUGACAGAAGAAGGCAGUCUGUUUUCAUUUCAUUAAAUUCUGCAUUGGAGAAUGGACUAGGCAACCAGCUGUUAAUAUGCAAAGACCAG